rnacentral:rRNA from 1 species
AGGCAGCAGUAAGGAAUAUUGCGCAAUGGGCGACAGCCUGACGCAGCGACGCCGCGUGGGGGAUGAAGGUCUUCGGAUUGUAAACCCCUUUCGGGAGGGAAGAUGGGGCAGGUAACUGCUCGGACGGUACCUCCAGAAGCAGCCACGGCCAACUUCGUGCCAGCAGCCGCGGUAAUAAU